AUUGAACGCUGGCGGCAGGCUUAACACAUGCAAGUCGAGCGGAGAUGAGGUGCUUGCACCUUAUCUUAGCGGCGGACGGGUGAGUAAUGCUUAGGAAUCUGCCAUUUAGUGGGGGACAACAUUCCGAAAGGAAUGCUAAUACCGCAUACGUCCUACGGGAGAAAGCAGGGGAUCUUCGGACCUUGCGCUAAAUGAUGAGCCUAAGUCGGAUUAGCUAGUUGGUGGGGUAAAGGCCUACCAAGGCGACGAUCUGUAGCGGGUCUGAGAGGAUGAUCCGCCACACUGGGACUGAGACACGGCCCAGACUCCUACGGGAGGCAGCAGUGGGGAAUAUUGGACAAUGGGCGGAAGCCUGAUCCAGCCAUGCCGCGUGUGUGAAGAAGGCCUUUUGGUUGUAAAGCACUUUAAGCGAGGAGGAGGCUACUAGUACUAAUACUACUGGAUAGUGGACGUUACUCGCAGAAUAAGCACCGGCUAACUCUGUGCCAGCCGCCGCCGUAACAC
rnacentral:rRNA from 1 species